GCCUGCAUCUUAUCAAACCAGGGCCAAAUUCUGCCACAGAUCUCAAGUGAAAGGCAGAGCUCACAGAGCAUACACGCUGUGUUUUCACCCAGAGCUCCAAGGAGAGAGCCAGACACAGGGGGUAAGGUGAAGUGUCCUUUAAUAGAUGUUAAAUCCUGAUGUCAGUAUGUGCCAAGGGAAUAAACAAGUGAAGAGGCCUAUCUGCAGCUGCUGGGUAACUCGAUUGCAGAUCCACCUCAAGAAGGGAUAAAUUCCAGAAUGCUGUACAGCUGUAAGUGGUUUUUCAUCGUGAUGGAUCUGAUUGCAUCCCUGAGCUUCCCAAAGAGACCACCUUCUUAACACUAUUAAGUGUUCAAGGAUAUCUGUUGAACUAAGUCCUAAGCCACCAUUUUGCAACUCUGUGAACUCACAUGUAGCUGAGCAUGGAUGAGAUACUAGAAAUGUGGAUCUCUGUCAGAGAAAGCAAUUUCAAACAAUUGGAAGAUUUCCCACUCUUUACAAAGAGAAGUUCAGCUGCAGUACACAGAUUUCAUAGGAUGCUCCAACAUCCUUUCAAGAUUUCAUUAGUUCUUUUCUAGAAUUUAACUGCUUCAGAACAUCAUGUCCAUAUCUGUGUGUGCAGUGGUUUUUCUGGAAGGGGCUCCUUGACUGAAGUCUCCAAGAACGAGUAACACAAGUAAUCCUGGUUUGUGCCACACAAGCUGCUCUCUGAAUCCUGCACCAUGAAACCACAUGAAGAUUCUUACUGUGGCCACAAAUACCAAGAAUUUGGAUGGAACAGAGAAAGGAUGAAAAAUAACAUAUGUAAAGCUCACUUUCCUAUAGAAUCACUUAAUUAUUUUUACUGAUGUGGUUGGGUGUUUUGUUUUUAUUUUAUUUUGGCUCAGUAGUGGGGGUUUUAUACAGUAUUAGACUGAAAGGAAGCUCACAAAAGCACUUGCAUCACUGCUGAACAGGCAUGCUAACACCAGAUUUUGCCCUGCAAAGAGAGAUGUUGCAUUACAUUUUCAACUUCUCUGAAGUUUACACCUUUCAUAUUAACAAAAAGAAAAAUAUUACAGCAGCUUCAGUGUAAUUCCAUUAGAAUUUUAAAACAGGAUAUUGAGCUAAAUAUCUCUUGCGAUUCAUGUAAUUGGGAGCUUGAAUGCAGUUUGACACGUUAGUGAUUGGUGUAGUUUUAGGCUCUACUGCAGCAUUCAGGCUAUGUGAGUAAAAAGGAAUCUAGCAAAAAGAGAAAGAGCUCAGGGGAUGGCACAAGCAAGCAGCACACAGCUGUUUGACUGCACGGGCUUCCUCCAUAGCCAUCCCCUACCCUGAACUAACAUCAGUUUCUGAACUGUUUGAAAUUGAGUUGCGGCAUCUAUAUGAAGCACCACAGUUAUUUUUUUUUUCCUCCCGCACUCAUCAAGUCAAAGGCAGCCCAGGUUGUAAGGAGGGGAGCUCUCUCCCUGCCCAAUAGAGGGCUCUGUGCUCCCUCCCCACAGUGAACAAGAUAACUACAGCCAUACAAAAGCCAUACAGAAAAAUCAAACUUGGAGGCUAAAAAUCUAAAAAUGGACAGUUGUUUGUUUUGUAUGCACUGACAUUACAUUCCAAUUUAAAGGUAAUUUAAGAAUCAGCGCCAUCAUUUCCAAGUAGUCAGCCUAGUGGUUAGGGAAAAACAAGGAACUCCACCUCAAAGGUGAUCAUUUCCCUCCCACCCCCAUGUUAGACUAUGCAUUCCUGCAAGGACAUUUUAGGGGAAAUUCAGUGCCCUGCAUCACCUGUGAGAGGAUUUACUCUCAGAUUACAGAAGCCCCUAUGACUGGGAGAGCUUUUCCCAGACAAAGGAAAGGAUGAUUUCUCCAGGAUUCCAUAGGAAUAUCCUCAACUCCUCCUGCAAGGAACCGUGGAUGCUACAAAGCUCAGCAAAAUUACUCAGAAAAACAGUACCAGGCAUAAGGCAAGCAGCUAUUUCCUUCUUUUCAG
rnacentral:lncRNA from 1 species